GACGAACGCUGGCGGCGUGCCUAAUACAUGCAAGUCGAGCGCUGAAGGUUGGUACUUGUACCAACUGGAUGAGCAGCGAACGGGUGAGUAACGCGUGGGGAAUCUGCCUUUGAGCGGGGGACAACAUCUGGAAACGAAUGCUAAUACCGCAUAAAAACUUUAAACACAAGUUUCAAGUUUGAAAGAUGCAAUUGCAUCACUCAAUGAUGAUCCCCCGUUGUAUUAGCUAGUUGGUGAGGUAAAGGGUCACCAAGGCGAUGGUACAUAGCCGACCUGAUAGGGUGAUCGGCCACACUGGGACUGAGACACGGGCCAAACGCCCACGGGAGGCAGCAGAAGGGCAUCUUCGGCGAAAGGCGAGAAUCUGAACGAGCAACGCGGCGUGAGAGAGGAAAGUUUUCGGAGCGUGAAAGUCGGUUGGUAGAGAAGAAAGAAGAUGAGAAUGGAAAGCUCAUCAAGUGACGGUUACUGCCCAGAAAGGGACGGCUAACUACGUG
rnacentral:rRNA from 1 species